rnacentral:lncRNA from 1 species
GGCUCUUCUUCGGUCAGAUCUCCCUCCAGAAGACUCAAAACACUUUGUAAAGGCUGGUGACAUCUAGUGGAAGCAAUAGGAAGUGCCAAAAUAUUCCUCAGCCCCUGUGUUUUUCAAUGGGAUAGGUUUAACCUCUUGGGGCUAGGUGGGACGCUAGCGUGCCACCUGUGGUGCACUCCAUCAACAGCAGGUGCAUUUCAAGAGCGGCAAAUUUGAAUCCAAAUAAAUGGCAAAAUUCAAAUUUUUCAAAAAUACAACUAUGUUACACCAUUUGAAAGAUAAACAUCUCCUUAAUCUAACCACGUUUUACGAUUUCAAAAAGGUUUUACGGCGAAAGCAUAAAUUUAGAGUAUGUUAGGACAGUACAUUUACAAGAGUUGUGUGUAAUGUUUUGUCAAGUCAAAGACAGGGUCACCAAAACCAUAAAACCAGCUAAAAUGAUACACUAACCUUUUACAAUCUCCAUCAGAUGACACUCCUAGGACAUUAUGUUAGACAAUGCAUGC